rnacentral:rRNA from 1 species
UACGUAGGGUCCGAGCGUUGUCCGGAAUUAUUGGGCGUAAAGAGCUCGUAGGCGGUUUGUCGCGUCUGCUGUGAAAUCCCGAGGCUCAACCUCGGGCCUGCAGUGGGUACGGGCAGACUGGAGUGCGGUAGGGGAGAAUGGAAUUCCUGGUGUAGCGGUGAAAUGCGUAGAUAUCCGGAGGAACACCUAUUGCGAAGGCAGCUCGCUGGGACGUUACUGACACUGAGGCGCGAAAGCGUGGGGAGCGAACAGG